CCUAGGGAGGCAGCAGUGAGGAAUAUUGGUCAAUGGUCGGGAGACUGAACCAGCCAAGCCGCGUGAGGGAGGAAGGUACAGAGUAUCGUAAACCUCUUUUGUCAGGGAACAAAGACUGGGCCGCGUCCCCGGAUGAGUGUACCUGUAGAAAAAGCAUCGGCUAACUUCGUGCCAGCAGCCGCGGUUAUACGGGGGAUGCGAGGGUUAACCGGAUUUAUUGGGGUUUAAGGGUGCGGAGGCGGUCUGUAAAGUCAGCGGUCAAAGCCCGGGGCUCAACCCCGGCCCGCCGUUGAAACUGGCAGUCUCGAGUUGGAGAGAAGUAUGCGGAAUGCGCGGUGUAGCGGUGAAAUGCAUAGAUAUCGCGCAGAACUCCGAUUGCGAAGGCAGCAUGCCGGCUCCACACUGACGCUGAGGCACGAAAGCGUGGGUAUCGAACAGGAUUAGAUACCCGGGUAGUC
rnacentral:rRNA from 1 species